rnacentral:rRNA from 1 species
UACAGAGGGUGCAAGCGUUGUUCGGAAUUAUUGGGCGUAAAGAGCUCGUAGGCGGCUUGUCGCGUCGGUUGUGAAAGCCCGGGGCUCAACUCCGGGUCUGCAGUCGAUACGGGCAGGCUAGAGUUCGGUAGGGGAGAUCGGAAUUCCUGGUGUAGCGGUGAAAUGCGCAGAUAUCAGGAGGAACACCGGUGGCGAAGGCGGAUCUCUGGGCCGAUACUGACGCUGAGGAGCGAAAGCCAGGGGAGCAAACGGG